UUUGGCCUACGGGGGGCAGCAGUGGGGAAUAUUGCACAAUGGGGGAAACCCUGAUGCAGCGACGCCGCGUGAGCGAUGAAGUAUUUCGGUAUGUAAAGCUCUAUCAGCAGGGAAGAAAAUGACGGUACCUGACUAAGAAGCCCCGGCUAACUACGUGCCAGCAGCCGCGGUAAUACGUAGGGGGCAAGCGUUAUCCGGAUUUACUGGGUGUAAAGGGAGCGUAGACGGCAGAGCAAGUCCGGAGUGAAAGCCCGGGGCCCAACCCCGGGACUGCUCUGGAAACUGUUAAGCUAGAGUGCGGGAGG
rnacentral:rRNA from 1 species